rnacentral:tRNA from 1 species
GCCUGGGUGGCUCAGUCGGUUAAGCGUCCGACCUCGGCUCAGGUCAUGGUCUCAUGGUUUGUGGGUUCAAUUCCUACAUCAGGCU